GCUAGGGAGUGGGAGAGGUAGACGGUACUCGGUAGGAAGGGGUAAAAUCCUUUGAUCUAUCGAUGACCACCUGUGGCGAAGGCGGUCUACCAGAACACGUUCGACGGUGAGGGAUGAAAGCUGGGGGAGCAAACCGGAUUAGAUACCCGGGUAGUCCCAGCUGUAAACGAUGCAGACUCGAUGAUGCAUUGGCAUAUAGCCAGUGCAGUGUCGCAGGGAAGCCGUUAAGUCUGCCGCCUGGGAAGUACGUACGCAAGUAUGAAACUUAAAGGAAUUGGCGGGGGAGCACCACAAGGGGUGAAGCCUGCGGUUCAAUUGGAGUCAACGCCAGAAAUCUUACCCGGAGAGACAGCAGAAUGAAGGUCAAGCUGAAGACUUUACCAGACAAGCUGAGAGGUGGUGCAUGGCCGUCGCCAGCUCGUGCCGUGAGAUGUCCUGUUAAGUCAGGUAACGAGCGAGAUCCUCGCCACUAGUUGCUAUCAUUAUUCUCAGGAAUAGUGGGGCGAAUUAGUGGGACUGCCGUUGUUAAAACGGAGGAAGGAGGGGGCUACGGCAGGUCAGUAUGCCCCGAAACUCUGGGGCCACACGCGGGCUGCAAUGGUAGCGACAAUGAGCUCCAAACUCGAAAGAGAGUGGCAAUCUCUAAACGCUACCACAGUUAUGACUGAGGGCUGUAACUCGCCCUCACGAAUAUGGAAUCCCUAGUAACCGCGUGUCAUUACCGCGCGGUGAAUACGUCCCUGCUCCUUGCACACACCGCCCGUCGUUUCAUCGAAGUUUGCUUUUAGCGAGGUGAUGUUUAAUUGGCAUUAUCGAACUUGAGGUAAGUGACGAGGGAAAAGUCGUAACAAGGUAACCGUA
rnacentral:rRNA from 2 species